AACGAACGCUGGCGGCAUGCCUAACACAUGCAAGUCGAACGAGACCUUCGGGUCUAGUGGCGCACGGGUGCGUAACGCGUGGGAACCUGCCCUUAGGUUCGGAAUAACUCCCCGAAAGGGGUGCUAAUACCGGAUAAUGUCUUCGGACCAAAGAUUUAUCGCCUUUGGAUGGGCCCGCGUUGGAUUAGCUAGUUGGUAGGGUAAAAGCCUACCAAGGCGACGAUCCAUAGCUGGUCUGAGAGGAUGAUCAGCCACACUGGGACUGAGACACGGCCCAGACUCCUACGGGAGGCAGCAGUGGGGAAUAUUGGACAAUGGGCGAAGGCUUGAUCCAGCAAUGCCCCGGGAGUGAUGAAGGCCUUAGGGUUGUAAAGCUCUUCUACCCGGAAUGUUAAUGACAGUGCCGAAAGAAUAAGCUCCGGCUAACUACGU
rnacentral:rRNA from 1 species